GAGUUUGAUCAUGGCUCAGAUUGAACGCUGGCGGCAGGCCUAACACAUGCAAGUCGAGCGGAUGACGGGAGCUUGCUCCUUGAUUCAGCGGCGGACGGGUGAGUAAUGCCUAGGAAUCUGCCUGGUAGUGGGGGACAACGUUUCGAAAGGAACGCUAAUACCGCAUACGUCCUACGGGAGAAAGCAGGGGACCUUCGGGCCUUGCGCUAUCAGAUGAGCCUAGGUCGGAUUAGCUAGUUGGUGGGGUAAUGGCUCACCAAGGCGACGAUCCGUAACUGGUCUGAGAGGAUGAUCAGUCACACUGGAACUGAGACACGGUCCAGACUCCUACGGGAGGCAGCAGUGGGGGAAUAUUGGACAAUGGGCGAAAGCCUGAUCCAGCCAUGCCGCGUGUGUGAAGAAGGUCUUCGGAUUGUAAAGCACUUUAAGUUGGGAGGAAGGGCAGUAAGUUAAUACCUUGCUGUUUUGACGUUUACCGACAGAAUAAGCACCGGCUAACUCUGUGCCAGCACG
rnacentral:rRNA from 1 species